rnacentral:rRNA from 1 species
AGGACGAACGCUGGCGGCGUGCUUAACACAUGCAAGUCACGGGGGCUCGCAAGAGCAACCGGCGAACGGGUGCGUAACACGUGAGCAACCUGCCUUUGUGUGGGGGAUAGCCGGGCUAACGCCCGGGUAAUACCGCAUACGGUCACCGGGAGGAGUCUCCUGGUGAAGAAACCUCCGGGGCACAGAGAGGGGCUCGCGGCCUAUCAGCUAGUUGGCGGGGUAAUGGCCCACAAGGCGACGACGGGUAGC